UACGGGGGGGGCAAGCGUUGUUCGGAAUUACUGGGCGUAAAGGGCUCGUAGGCGGCCAACUAAGUCGGACGUGAAAUCCCACGGCUCAACCGUGGAAGUGCACUCGAAACUGCGUAGCUAGAGUCCUGGAGAGGAAGGUGGAAUGCUUGGUGUAGAGGUGAAAUUCGUAGAUAUCAAGCGGAACACCGGUGGCGAAGGCGGCCUUCUGGACAGUGACUGACGCUGAGACGCGAAAGCGUGGGGAGCAAACAGG
rnacentral:rRNA from 1 species